rnacentral:rRNA from 1 species
AUUGAACGCUGGCGGCAGGCCUAACACAUGCAAGUCGAGCGGGGUUUUCGGACCUAGCGGCGGACGGGUGAGUAAUGCGUAGGAAGCUGCCCGAUAGAGGGGGAUACCAGUUGGAAACGACUGUUAAUACCGCAUAAUGUCUACGGACCAAAGUGUGGGACCUUCGGGCCACAUGCUAUCGGAUGCGCCUACGUGGGAUUAGCUAGUUGGUGAGGUAAUGGCUCACCAAGGCGACGAUCUCUAGCUGGUUUGAGAGGAUGAUCAGCCACACUGGAACUGGGACACGGUCCAGACUCCUACGGGAGGCAGCGGUGGGGAAUAUUGGACAAUGGGCGCAAGCCUGAUCCAGCCAUGCCGCGUGUGUGAAGAAGGCCUUCGGGUUGUAAAGCACUUUCAGCGAGGAGGAAGGGGUAGUCGUUAAUAGCGGCUACUUUUGACGUUACUCGCAGAAGAAGCACCGGCUAACUCUGUGCCAGCCGCCGCCGUAACAC